CGGGAAAAGCUCAAAUUUGAAAUCUGGCGGUCUUUGAUCGUCCGAGUUGUAAUCUAGAGAAGUGUUACCCGCGUUGGACCGUGUACAAGUCUCCUGGAAUGGAGCGUCAUAGAGGGUGAGAAUCCCGUCUUUGACACGGACUGCCAAGGCUUUGUGGUGCGCUCUCAAA
rnacentral:rRNA from 1 species